rnacentral:rRNA from 1 species
CCCCCCCUCGAGGUCUGCUGGACUGUAACUGACGCUGAUGCUCGAAAGUGUGGGUAUCAAACAGGAUUAGAUACCCUGGUAGUCCACACAGUAAACGAUGAAUACUCGCUGUUUGCGAUAUACAGUAAGCGGCCAAGCGAAAGCAUUAAGUAUUCCACCUGGGGAGUACGCCGGCAACGGUGAAACUCAAAGGAAUUGACGGGGGCCCGCACAAGCGGAGGAACAUGUGGUUUAAUUCGAUGAUACGCGAGGAACCUUACCCGGGCUUGAAUUGCAACUGAAUGAUGUGGAGACAUGUCAGCCGCAAGGCAGUUGUGAAGGUGCUGCAUGGUUGUCGUCAGCUCGUGCCGUGAGGUGUCGGCUUAAGUGCCAUAACGAGCGCAACCCUUAUCUUUAGUUACUAACAGGUUAUGCUGAGGACUCUAGAGAGACUGCCGUCGUAAGAUGUGAGGAAGGUGGGGAUGACGUCAAAUCAGCACGGCCCUUACGUCCGGGGCUACACACGUGUUACAAUGGGGGGUACAGAAGGCGGCUACCUGGUGACAGGAUGCUAAUCCCAAAAACCUCUCUCAGUUCGGAUCGAAGUCUGCAACCCGACUUCGUGAAGCUGGAUUCGCUAGUAAUCGCGCAUCAGCCAUGGCGCGGUGAAUACGUUCCCGGGCCUUGUACACACCGCCCGUCAAGCCAUGAAAGCCGGGGGUACCUGAAGUGCGUAACCGCAAGGAGCGCCCUAGGGUAAAACUGGUGAUUGGGGCUAAGUCGUAACAAGGUAGCCGUACCGGAAGGUGCGGCUG